GAUGAAGAACGUAGCGAAAUGCGAUAAGUAAUGUGAAUUGCAGAAUUCAGUGAAUCAUCGAAUCUUUGAACGCACAUUGCGCCCGCCAGUAUUCUGGCGGGCAUGCCUGUUCGAGCGUCAUUACAACCCUCAGGCCCCCGGGCCUGGCGUUGGGGAUCGGCGGAAGCCCCCUGCGGGCACAACGCCGUCCCCCAAAUACAGUGGCGGUCCCGCCGCAGCUUCCAUUGCGUAGUAGCUAACACCUCGCAACUGGAGAGCGGCGCGGCCACGCCGUAAAACACCCAACUUCUGAAUGUUGACCUCGAAUCAGGUAGGAAUACCCGCUGAACUUAAGCAUAUCAAUAAAGCGGAGGA
rnacentral:misc_RNA from 1 species